ncrna:unclassified sequences aspS RNA
GCGAAACGGCGCCGUUUACACCGUCUCGCCGUCUGCUGCACAUCCGCCCGUCACGGCACGGGGCGGAAGAGACGAAAGGA